rnacentral:lncRNA from 12 species
CAGGUGGCAACAUGGAUUAUGGAAGAGCAGAAUGUUUCUGGAACUAUUAUCUUUUUUCAUCUCUGUAUCAUUUAAAUGAAAAUACAGCUAAUGAAGGCUUGAAUUUUUGGAAAUUGGAAACCAGAAAGUAAAAUUAAUCACAAUGUUCCUUUCCUUCAUCAUACCAGAUCAAAUAGAUUAUAAUGGAAUAAAUUUUUAAACCUUUUUUAUAUUUGAAGAAUU